GACGAACGCUGGCGGCGUGCUUAACACAUGCAAGUCGAACGGAAAGGCCCUGCUUUUGUGGGGUGCUCGAGUGGCGAACGGGUGAGUAACACGUGAGUAACCUGCCCUUGACUUUGGGAUAACUUCAGGAAACUGGGGCUAAUACCGGAUAGGAGCUCCUGCUGCAUGGUGGGGGUUGGAAAGUUUCGGCGGUUGGGGAUGGACUCGCGGCUUAUCAGCUUGUUGGUGGGGUAGUGGCUUACCAAGGCUUUGACGGGUAGCCGGCCUGAGAGGGUGACCGGCCACAUUGGGACUGAGAUACGGCCCAGACUCCUACGGGAGGCAGCAGUGGGGAAUAUUGCACAAUGGGCGGAAGCCUGAUGCAGCAACGCCGCGUGCGGGAUGACGGCCUUCGGGUUGUAAACCGCUUUCGCCUGUGACGAAGCGUGAGUGACGGUAAUGGGUAAAGAAGCACCGGCUAACUACGUGCCAGCAGCCGCGGUGAUACGUAGGGUGCGAGCGUUGUCCGGAUUUAUUGGGCGUAAAGGGCUCGUAGGUGGUUGAUCGCGUCGGAAGUGUAAUCUUGGGGCUUAACCCUGAGCGUGCUUUCGAUACGGGUUGACUUGAGGAAGGUAGGGGAGAAUGGAAUUCCUGGUGGAGCGGUGGAAUGCGCAGAUAUCAGGAGGAACACCAGUGGCGAAGGCGGUUCUCUGGGCCUUUCCUGACGCUGAGGAGCGAAAGCGUGGGGAGCGAACAGGCUUAGAUACCCUGGUAGUCCACGCUGUAAACGGUGGGUACUAGGUGUGGGGUCCAUUCCACGGGUUCCGUGCCGUAGCUAACGCUUUAAGUACCCCGCCUGGGGAGUACGGCCGCAAGGCUAAAACUCAAAGGAAUUGACGGGGCCCCGCACAAGCGGCGGAGCAUGCGGAUUAAUUCGAUGCAACGCGUAAAACCUUACCUGGGUUUGACAUGGAUCGGGAGUGCUCAGAGAUGGGUGUGCCUUUUUUGGGGUCGGUUCACAGGUGGUGCAUGCCUGUCGUCAGCUCGUGUCGUGAGAUGUUGGGUUAAGUCCCGCAACGAGCGCAACCCUUGUUCACUGUUGCCAGCACGUUAUGGUGGGGACUCAGUGGAGACCGCCGGGGUCAACUCGGAGGAAGGUGGGGAUGACGUCAAGUCAUCAUGCCCCUUAUGUCCAGGGCUUCACGCAUGCUACAAUGGCUGGUACAGAGAGUGGCGAGCCUGUGAGGGUGAGCGAAUCUCGGAAAGCCGGUCUCAGUUCGGAUUGGGGUCUGCAACUCGACCUCAUGAAGUCGGAGUCGCUAGUAAUCGAAGAUCAGCAACGCUGCGGUGAAUACGUUCCCGGGGCU
rnacentral:rRNA from 1 species